GGGCCCGCACAAGCAGUGGAGUAUGUGGUUUAAUUCGAUGCAACGCGCAGAACCUUACCCGGCCUUGACAUCCUGUGAAAUCCUCCGAAAAGAGGACGUGCUACCGCAAGGUAGAACGCAGUGACAGGUGCUGCAUGGCUGUCGUCAGCUCGUGUCGUGAGAUGUUCGGUUAAGUCCGGCAACGAGCGCAACCCCUGUCUUCAGUUGCCAUCAUUUCGGAUGGGCACUCUGGAGAGACUGCCGGUGACAAACCGGAGGAAGGUGGGGACGACGUCAAGUCCUCAUGGCCCUUAUGGUCGGGGCUACACACGUACUACAAUGGGCACUACAAUGGGCAGCGAGACCGCGAGGUGGAGCAAAUCCCAAAAAAGUGUCCUCAGUUCGGAUUGGAGUCUGCAACUCGACUCCAUGAAGUUGGAAUUGCUAGUAAUCGC
rnacentral:rRNA from 1 species